rnacentral:lncRNA from 7 species
AUGGGAGGAUUGAAUCCAUAUCUUCCUAUAUGCGGCUGUAGCUUCCUAUAUGUGGCUGUAGCUAGAAAGGCAAGGAUGCCUGCACAUGUAUGGUAGGGUAUCCUGCGCCUAUAUGGCAGGAGACACAAGUCUGAUAUAUCAGCUAACAGACGGAUAUCUUGUUCUUGUUCCAAUCCCAACCAAAGCCACUUGUAAUGCACAAUUGUUUGAAAAAAAGAAACGUGGAGAAACUCAAUAAUCUGAAAAACUACAAGCAAAGUUACAAUAAUCUGAAUUUUCAGAAUGCUGUGCGGAUUUAGUACACGAUAAAGUUACAAUAAUCGUGUGUUAGAUUUAACGGCCGCGUGAUGAACAAAUAUAAUGAUGAUAUUAGUUAGCGAUCGAGCGAGCGAGUGGUUUGCACUGUCUUGUCUAGCUAUAUAUAUGUGUGUGUCCAUGAAUAGG